UGAACGCUGGCGGCAUGCCUUACACAUGCAAGUCGAACGGCAGCACGGGAGCUUGCUCCUGGUGGCGAGUGGCGAACGGGUGAGUAAUACAUCGGAACGUACCCAGUAGUGGGGGAUAACGCACCGAAAGGUGCGCUAAUACCGCAUACGACCUACGGGUGAAAGCGGGGGACCGUAAGGCCUCGCGCUAUUGGAGCGGCCGAUGUCUGAUUAGCUAGUUGGUGAGGUAAAGGCUCACCAAGGCUUCGAUCAGUGGCUGGUCUGAGAGGACGACCAGCCACACUGGAACUGAGACACGGUCCAGACUCCUACGGGAGGCAGCAGUGGGGAAUUUUGGGCAAUGGGGGCAACCCUGAUCCAGCAAUGCCGCGUGAGUGAAGAAGGCCCUCGGGUUGUAAAGCUCUUUUGUCAGGGAAGAAACGGUGAAUCCUAAUACGGUUUGCUAAUGACGGUACCUGAAGAAUAAGCACCGGCUAACUAUGCGCCAGCAG
rnacentral:rRNA from 1 species